GGGGGUAUAGUUCAGUGGUAGAGCAUUCUACUGCAGAUUGAGUGGUCACCGGUUCAAACCCGGGUGUCCCCU